AGAAUUUGAAAAAGGGGAAGAAAAGAAAAGAACCCCAUCAAAAGAACUGACAUCUCAUACUAUUUAUACUGAUGUAAAGUUAUCACUUUGGACUAGAUCAGAUGCAGCAUUAAAAAAUAGACUAGACCAUCACUGAUCCAAAAGAAAAUGGGAAAUCUACUAAUAAUUGGAAUAUGGAUAAUCAAACUCAAUGAAAUUUUACAACCCCAAAACAGAGAAGAAAUCAGCAA